GUUUUCUAUUAACAUUUGAGCUUUGAUCAGGAACCUUGGCUUAGCUCCAUUUUUCUCUCGAUUGCCUAGUUCCCCUCUCUUUUUCAGCCCCAGCUUGCCUCCCAGGUGAAGCUGGUCUAUGUGAGCCUCGGGACAGCUUCCAACAGUCGGCGCCUGGACCAGGGACCUGAAGAAUCACAGAAAAACGCUGGAGGAAUGCUGCUUGGUGUGGAGCUCCACGGGAAGAAAAGAAUCAGAGAAAAGAAUCGUAUCGGGGCAUGGUAAACAACAGAUGAGAAGGAAAACCUGUGAAGAAUCCUCGUUUGCCCU
rnacentral:lncRNA from 1 species